CCGUCACAUCUCUGACUCUCCACGAACAACACCACACUCACCAAUACCCAUAACACAGAGGAAACAGGACAAGCUAAAAAAGAGAGAAAUCAAAGGACGCGCGCAUCCGAUUUCGUGUACGAGAUCCUCUCCCCUUCUACAUUUUCUGUGCCUGCGUACGGUUCUCUGCCUUUGGUGCACCCCCCCCCCUCGCACACGCCGCUUCUUUCUUGCCGCUUCCCAGCCACUUGCUCGAGCACAAGGCCAACGAUCCACUCACGGGCGUCAUUGCGCGCACGCACGCGCACACACACAGAGAGAGGCAACGCUGCCGGCGUCCGGCUCUUCUAUACAACUAAAUCCACGCAUACUCGUAGCUGUGUGAGGGAUCCUUUCUCCCUCUCCCUCUCCCUCUCUCCUCGUUCCUCCACUCUCACGCUGACAGACGCACGCCCACACGCACGCAGCUUGUAUUGUUUUUCGUGCGCUCCGGAUUCCAGUUCUCUUUACCUUCUUUUCCCUCUCUUGUCUCGUAUCCCGCUUCUUCCUCAUUCCUUUUUGUGGAUCGUUUCGCUCUGUGUUGCGCUUGGCCCUCCUCCCUCGCUCAGUCUCUCUCUCUCUCGCCUUGUACACACAUAUAUAUAUAUAUAUAUCAAUACAUUAUAUAUAUCGAUAUAUAUAUAUAUAUGCUACUUGUACGGUCUCCUUCCCCCUCGGUGUGUUUUGCAAUAACCUGUGCUUGUGGCCGGCCACCUCCUCUCCCUGUCCCCCCCUCCUCCCGCGCCUUCUCUUUCUGCUGUUGCUGCUGCUGCUCUCACUGUGCCUGGUCACUGCGACGAUUGUUGUUUGGUUGCUUGCCGCUGCAUCUUGUGCCUGGGCCGUGUAUAUAUAGAGGUGCACCUUUUACUUCUUUCUUCGUGGUUGCGUGUGUGUGCGUCCUCGUGCGCCCCUCCCCCUGCAUCCUCAGUGCACACAAGACAAAUACGCGCCCUAUCGAUACGUGCACGCUCACACUCGGCAGGUUUUUUUUAUUCACACCGGUAAAGCAACAGCCUAAGGCACCUUGCGGGUGACGAGUUGCUGACAUCUCCAUCAGAGCAGUGCUCUUCUCUUCUGCCUUUCCUGCCUCACCUCUGUGUGUCCUCAUUCAUUGGCGACCAGUGGCCGUCGCUUCACACCUUCGAAAGCCUUGCACCGGGCGAGCUGCAGAGGCUCGUACUUCGGGGUAACUUCAUGAUGGCGCCGCAGCGGAAAGAAGCACGCAGCGCCGUGCCGCGCAGCCACCACGCCUCAUCACUCAGCGCAGCCACUACUCUGGUGGCUGUGUUCCUUGUGCUCCUCCUCCUUGCCGCUUGCGCAUCUGUCACUCAAGCGCUGCAUGUGAGCCCGGCGUCCGCAGAGGCAGCGAUGUGGAGCCGCAUGGAUGUGUUCGCGUCCUCUGGUUCGCACUCAGACUCGAUCACGUGCCUCAACGGCGGCAUCCCUGCCGGCGACCACUGCACCUGCCCCCUCUACUACACCUCGGCGAACUGCUCGCAGCGGCAGUGCCCCAACUCCAUUGGAGGCGAAGGGCCGCAUCGCGUGAUGCCUGUGAACUCGACGAACAAGUUCUGUGAUCACUGCGACGAAAAGGAAUUCACCGGCCUCAGCUGUCAGAUAUGCCAGAGCAACGCGGCUUGCAUGCAGUACGCCGGCAGCGCUGCUGAGUGCGACAACAGCACGUCCGUCCGCGGUGACAGCAAGCAAUUCCAGUGCACGCUAAAGAACGAGUUCUUCGUUCGACUCAUGAGCGGCAACCGCAACAUCACCGUUGAGGUUCUGUUCAACUGUUCCACAUCAGACGGCACCGCCUUCAGGAAGGGUGAGCAGGGUGUGUGCAACAUGGCCAUCUAUCGCAUAGAACCGAAUCACAGCUAUGUGGAUCCCUUUUUCCGCUGCGACGCGCAGGAGUGCUCGCUCAAGUAUGGCCAGAAAGACCCUGACCCGAACGACGCGAACAACAACACGCUGCGCCAGCGCUUUUUCCGCGCCGCUCGCACCUCUGGACAGGUGGCGCUCAUCGUCGAGUGCGCUUUACUCGCGCUUCUUGGUGGCUUCACUGCACUGCUGGGGCCCAGACGCACCAAGUCCAUCACUGUGGCUCUCGCCUCCGUGAUCACCGUCACGGUGCUGGUGUACAUCUCCUUGAUGAUGCUCAGUAUGCAGUCCAUCUCCGCCCCGGAGCAGACCGUCGUCUACGAGUGCAAGAAGACGCAUUGCGCCUGCGCCGAGGACCCGCCGCCGCAGUACGACCCGAUAUGCUCACAAAAAGAGGAGCUGAAUAACCAAAUCCUGCCGUCCAUUAAGAACAGCAUCCGGUUUGCCUGCGGACAGAACACCUCGCUCUGCGAGCUGACGCUGGCGGAUCUCUCGCUGGUGUUCCAGGCGGACUGCCGCGCCUCCGAGUGCGUCGACACCGUCCGCUUCCCUGAUGACUCGUCGGACGACAGCAACGACGACAGCGGCGGCGGCGGCGGUGCGGCCGUCCUGGCGAAGCUGAAUCUCGGCAUCCUUCUCGUGCUGCUGGUGCUACUCGUGGUGAGCGGGAUUGGAACUCACUAUUACUACACUCGCAGCAUCUCCUGCGAGCGUGACAGGGAUUUCCUCAUCACCUUCCACGUGAGCACGCCGUACGGCGACGACGGCGGCAGCCACGAGACCGGCGACCCAGAUGUCCUCGAUGAGCGCCACGUGCACCUGAACGGCAGCGCGGACGGCAGCGCUGUUGAGCACGAGCAGGAGCCUCUGCUGUACAAUUCGCCGGUACCGCGAGCCGAGCGGCGGGGCUUUCUUUCACGGGGUGUUUCCAGCAGUCGUCACUCUGAGGGCAACGUCUCUGUUCGCGCGAGCGUGUAUGAGCAGGCGCGCGCCUUGACGCCGGCGGCGUGCGCGCGCAUUGAGGAGCUGCGCCGGCUCACCGCCGCACCGCUGGAGUUGCAGGUAUCAGAGUUGCGGUAUACCUUGAAUACGCCUCUGCUGGGGGCUGCGGACGAAGGUUCGCAGCGCACGCUGCUUCACCGCAUCAACUUCACAGUGCACUCGGGGGACGUGCUGGCUAUCAUGGGACCCUCCGGUGCCGGUAAAACCACGCUGCUGGAUUUGCUCUCGGCUCGCGCUAAGUCAGGGGAAGUCAGCGGCACCAUUGCCCUGAACGGUACGCCCAUCACGACGACCGGUUCCCGCGCGGCGCAAUACCGCAACAUCAUUGGCUACGUCUCGCAGGAGGACACGUUGCUGCCGUCCCUGACUGUCGAGCAGACAAUCCUCUACGCCGCACGGCUAAAGCUGCCGAAGGCGCUUUCGCACAGCACUGUGCGUCGCAUUGUGGCGCGCGUCAUCGAGACGCUGAAGCUGCAGCACUGCGCACAGACGCUCAUUGGUGGCGAGACGACACGCGGCAUCAGCGGCGGCGAGAAGCGCCGCGUGUCUAUCGCUGUGGAAUUGUUGGCGAACCCGCGUAUCCUGUACCUUGACGAGCCAACGAGCGGCUUGGACGCGGUGAGCGCGAAGCGCGUGGUGGAGGCGGUGGUGGCUCUGGCGAAGGACUCGACGAUGCGCAUAUAUGCCAUGCACUACUUUGCGUUCCAGCCCAUCGUCAUCUUCAGUAUCCAUCAGCCCUCACAAGAGAUCUACGAGCUUUUCGACAAGGUCCUGCUGCUAUCGCGGGGAAUGAGCAUCUACUGCGGCUCUGCCGCGUCCGCCGCGGCGACGAUCGAGCGGCGGGUCACGGCCGCCUUCGGCCACACGCGAGAGGUACCGAGGAGGGAGGCGCACAACAACCAGGCGGAGUACCUUAUGAAGGUCGAAGAGAUUCUCGACGACGCCGUGCGCGCGGAGUUGCAGGAAGAGGACGCACUCGAGAACACCAGUACUGCAGGUGCGCCUUACGGCAGCGCCUCGGCCGAUGGGUCUCCACUGGCCGCGGCUCGCACGCAAGUGCCGCCGUGCCGCAGUCCCGGGUCACCGCCCCCGCGCGCGCCGUCGCAGUCCGGCGGCUGCCACGACUUCGACGACGGUGAGCAGGUAAGCGGGGCCGACAUCCUGAGCACCACGUUUGGCUUCCGUAUGUACUACGCGAACGUGUAUGAACAGCUGCAGCUACUCGUCUCUCGCUCCAUCACGUGCCUGUUCGGCUCCUUCCACCUAGUGAUAUGCCACUCGGCCGUGGUGGCGUGCCUUGCGACGCUCAUGUGUGUCCUCUACCGCGAGCAGGCCCUUGAUCUUCCGGGGUCGCUCAACCGCGCCGGCUCGGUCUCUUUCCUGCUGCUCGUCACCUCCUUUUUGUCUCUUAGCUGCCUUGAGCAGCUCAUCGUCGAGCGGAAGCUGUUCAACGUGGAGCGGGAGAACGGCUUCUACACCACAUGUCCGUAUCUGAUCUCCAAGAUCGUCGUCGACAUCAUCCCGCUUCGCAUUAUUCCAGCCAUGGUGCUCGCCUCGGUCAUCUACUUCCCCAUGGGCUUCCGCGUCGACGCAGGACUGCACUUCUUCUACUUUAUCCUCAUCAUCGUGCUCUUCUCCAUCUGCAUGACGAUGGUGAUUCUCUGCAUCGGCAUCGUCAGCGGCUCCUUCGGCGCCGCGGCGCUGCUCAGCAGCGUCUUUAUCUUGUGGAACUUCGUCUUUGGCGGCGCGCUGGUGCAGGCCGAGACGAUCCCGCCCUCGCUGCGCGCCUUCAAGUCCAUUUCGCCCUUCUUCCUCGCUUUUGAGUCGCUCAUGGUGAACGAGCUCGACGGACAGCACUGCGUCUUCUCCCCGACAGACGAGACGGGGAAGAAGUCGUCGGCGAGCAUCCCAAUUAUGUGUGUACAGUACCUGGCAAACAUCGGGCUGAAGCCGGAGCGGUUCAACGCCGAUGUAAUGCAGCUGGCUGUGUACUGCCUCCUUUUCGUGGGCCUCUCCUGGAUGCUGCUCUCAAGCUGCUCGAAGCUCGUUCGCUAGUCGGCGAUGCACGGUGGAUGUGCGAGGGCGAAACGCUCCUGACGUGUGGUGGUGGGGGAAGGCAGAAAAAGUAGAAGUGAGGGAUGAUAUGCGAAGCGAGCGGGUGCGGGUGCGGGCUGCGGGCGGGAGGGGGCGGCGGCAAGGAUGCGAGGAUGCGGGAAUAGGUGUUGGGUGCCGUGUGCUUUGUUGCGUGAAUUGUGUUCUCUCCUCCUCUCGUAUAGAUGGCGGCCGCCCCGUCGUCCACCGUUGGCCCCCCCCCCCGCCCCCCUCCCCCGCUCCCUUCGACAAAGGACUCCUUCCAUUUUUAUGCUUUAUGCAUACCUAUAUAUAUAUAUAUAUACAUAUAUAUAUGGCUUUGAAAGCGAGAGAGCUCUCCCUUCGCCGCGUUUGUGGUGUACGUGUGUGUAUCGCCUUCCCACUGCCCAGGGACGUGCUGGCUGCCUCGUUUGUUGCUGCGUUUGAGUGCUGCUGCUACGCACUCACCUUCCCUCUCUUUUCCUUCAACAAAUCGCGUGGACAUCCGCGUCUGUCCUGCGCUUGUGCGCUGAGGUAUUUGUGUCUCUCCUCCCUCCAUCCCCUCCUCGCCCGCCUUUGCGCGCACGCACGCAUGUAUUGAUUUUCUUCUGCGGGGAUUGCCUUUUCGUCUUCGAUUGCUCAUCCGUUGGCUUUGGCGUUGUGCGUCGCAUGCAUCUCUCCGUCACCGUGAGUUGGCCGCUUUCAGGUCUCUUCUUCCCUCGUUGGUUCUCUCGCGGGUGCUUGCCUGGCUGCGUGCAAGCGUCGGUGUGCGUCGUGGAUGAUUUUCCCCGUUGGCUGUUGUGCGUUUCGAGCGUCACAGCGUUCUCCUCUCUCUGUGCUGAUAGUCGCUGUUUCCGUUUUCGGUGACCCUCUCUCUCUUGUGCCAUGCCCUCAUCCAGUGUCACCGCCUCAACCCCCACCCCCACUCCCCCAAAGAGAACGUAAAAGAGUAUCGCGAGUAUCUUCGAGCC
rnacentral:misc_RNA from 1 species